rnacentral:rRNA from 1 species
AGAACGACUCUCGGCAACGGAUAUCUCGGCUCUCGCAUCGAUGAAGAACGUAGCGAAAUGCGAUACUUGGUGUGAAUUGCAGAAUCCCGUGAACCAUCGAGUCUUUGAACGCAAGUUGCGCCCGAGGCCAUCAGGUGGAGGGCACGUCUGCCUGGGCGUCACAC